GCUCUAGAAUAGCGGAUCCCCCGGGCUGCAGCCCAAUGUGGAAUUCGCCCUUCGAAAGGAAGCGCGCGGCGGGCGGGGCGGGGGCACGGGGGGUUUACAGGAGGCAGCAGUGGGGAAUAUUGCACAAUGGGCGCAAGCCUGAUGCAGCGACGCCGCGUGAGGGAUGGAGGCCUUCGGGUUGUAAACCUCUUUUGUUUGGGAGCAA
rnacentral:rRNA from 1 species